CUCUUUCUCGAUUCAGUGGAUGGUGGUGCAUGGCCGUUCUUAGUUGGUGGAGUGAUCUGUCUGGUUAAUUCCGAUAACGAACGAGACUCUCCCCUGCUAACUANUCGGUUGGAUCUUGCUCGSUGAGUCGUGUGCCGGGAACACUCGG
rnacentral:rRNA from 1 species